rnacentral:rRNA from 1 species
UUCGGAUUGGAGUCUGCAACCCGACUCCAUGAAGCUGGAUUCGCUAGUAAUCGCGCAUCAGCCACGGCGCGGUGAAUACGUUCCCGGGCCUUGUACACACCGCCCGUCAAGCCAUGGAAGCCGGGAGUGCCUGAAGUGCGUGAGCGCAAGCAGCGCCCUAAGGUAAAACCGGUGACUGGGGCUAAGUCGUAACAAGGUAGC